AAUCAACGCUGGCGGCGUGCCUAACACAUGCAAGUCGCACGAGAAAGGGUAGCAAUACCUGAGUAAAGUGGCGCACGGGUGAGUAACACGUGAAUUAUCUACCUUCGAGUGGGGAAUAACUGGGAGAAAUCUCAGCUAAUACCGCAUAACACCUACGGGUCAAAGCAGCAAUGCGCUUGAAGAGGAGUUCGCGGCAGAUUAGUUAGUUGGCGGGGUAAUGGCCCACCAAGACGAUGAUCUGUAUCCGGCCUGAGAGGGCGCACGGACACAUCUGGAACUGAAACACGGUCCAGACUCCUACGGGAGGCAGCAGUGGGGAAUUUUGCGCAAUGGGGGAAACCCUGACGCAGCAACGCCGCGUGGAGGAUGAAAUCCCUUGGGAUGUAAACUCCUUUCGAUCGGGACGAUUAUGACGG
rnacentral:rRNA from 1 species